UGCAGUCUAGCGGAAACGAGAAGUAGCUUGCUACUUCGGCGUCGAGCGGCGGACGGGUGAGUAAUGCCUAGGAAAUUGCCUUGAUGUGGGGGAUAACUAUUGGAAACGAUAGCUAAUACCGCAUAACGCCUACGGGCCAAAGAGGGGGAUCUUCGGACCUCUCGCGUCAAGAUAUGCCUAGGUGGGAUUAGCUAGUUGGUGAGGUAAUGGCUCACCAAGGCAACGAUCCCUAGCUGGUCUGAGAGGAUGAUCAGCCACACUGGAACUGAGACACGGUCCAGACUCCUACGGGAGGCAGCAGUGGGGAAUAUUGCACAAUGGGCGCAAGCCUGAUGCAGCCAUGCCGCGUGUAUGAAGAAGGCCUUCGGGUUGUAAAGUACUUUCAGUCGUGAGGAAGGUUCAUACGUUAAUAGCGUAU
rnacentral:rRNA from 1 species